AUUGAACGCUGGCGGCAUGCCUUACACAUGCAAGUCGAACGGCAGCACGGGAGCAAUCCUGGUGGCGAGUGGCGAACGGGUGAGUAAUAUAUCGGAACGUGCCCAGUCGUGGGGGAUAACGUAGCGAAAGCUACGCUAAUACCGCAUACGAUCUAUGGAUGAAAGCGGGGGAUCGCAAGACCUCGCGCGAUUGGAGCGGCCGAUAUCAGAUUAGGUAGUUGGUGAGGUAAAGGCUCACCAAGCCGACGAUCUGUAGCUGGUCUGAGAGGACGACCAGCCACACUGGGACUGAGACACGGCCCAGACUCCUACGGGAGGCAGCAGUGGGGAAUUUUUGGGACAAUGGGCGCAAGCCUGAUCCAGCAAUGCCGCGUGCAGGAUGAAGGCCU
rnacentral:rRNA from 1 species